AGGACGAACGCUGGCGGCGUGCUUAACACAUGCAAGUCGAGCGGGGAUUGAUUGCGGAAGGUUUCGGCUGGAAAGCGAUUAAUUCUAGCGGCGGACGGGUGAGUAACGCGUGAGCAAUCUGUCCCAGACAGGGGGAUAACACAUAGAAAUGUGUGCUAAUACCGCAUAACGUAUCGGAACCGCAUGGCUCUGAUACCAAAGAUUAUAUCGCUGAAAGAUGGGCUCGCGUACGAUUAGAUAGUUGGUGAGGUAACGGCUCACCAAGUCGACGAUCGUUAGCCGAACUGAGAGGUUGAUCGGCCACAUUGGGACUGAGACACGGCCCAGACUCCUACGGGAGGCAGCAGUGGGGGAUAUUGCGCAAUGGGGGCAACCCUGACGCAGCAACGCCGCGUGAAGGAAGAAGGUUUUCGGAUCGUAAACUUCUUUAAGUGGGGAAGAUAGUGACGGUACCCACAGAAUAAGCCACGGCUAACUACGUG
rnacentral:rRNA from 1 species